UGGCUGGUGACGAGGCAGAAAGCAUCGCCACACUCAGGAAAGGGCACGGCCAGGACCUCUGCGUGUCCCACCAGCAAAUCUCUUUGCUGCCAGGGCUUCCAGAAUAAAGCCUCUCCUUGGCACCAUCACCUCGCUUUGGGACACGUAUUUGGAUCAUGAUAUCAUAUUAGGAUUUGGAUGGGUGUUCAGAUCAGCACAGAGAAAGGCCCAGGAAGCUCCCUUGGCAGGGCAGCAGCCGAGUCCCACAUGAGGGAAUGCUGCAGCAGCACCUUCCAGGAAAGGGGGAAAACAGCCCACCCCGAGUCACAUCAGUGCCACGCCACAUCUAAACAACAGGGAACACAGGGGAAAAAAGAAAAAAAGCAGAAAGGAAAGGGGGAAAGUGGCUUAUGGUAAUGAAGUCAAUGAAUCAUGUGGUAAUUAACAAUCUGAUUGUUCUGGAGAAUGUUUUUUUUUUCCUAACCAAAAACCACCUGAACACAACUGCAGUCAAUAAUCUCACCCUGCAACCUUAUUUCUGAGGGCUGACAAUUUGGCAGAACUGGAUACCACCUAUGGAAGACAUUAGCAGCAGCCAUGAAAGCAUUUGUUUGAACACAGGGAAAACUUGUACCCCAAGGAAAGUACAUAUUCUCAGACAUUCAAACAUUACAAUGUGCUUUUUGCAAUCUUCAUAGCAGUAUUUCAGUUACUCCACACUUUCCUCUCAGCACUAAUUUAUGGAAAUCCAAGCUAGAGAAGAAACCGUUUCAAAGAAAUGUCUGUCAAGCAUUUUUUUUUUCUGAGAAGGUGCACACUCAUCAGAAUGGGGAGGAAUGAUGAGAAGAAUCAGCACCUUCAGGGAAAGUGGACAUUUUCCAUAAUAAAAGAGGGGAUGAAAGGCUGGAGUGCAAGGUUAGGGCUUUGAAAAUUCAGCCAUACACUCAUCUUAAACCUUCUGGAGAAUCUCAGGAAUUUUACACAAUUUGCACCAGAAACAAAACAAUCCUUCUUAAUAGCAAUAUGAUACUAAAAACAUUAAUCAGUGAGUUCCAGAAAGGCAGUGUUAACAGAGAAGACCGCAUUCACUUUUUUUCUCCAUGCCCCAAGUGUUACUUCCUCCUAUAUUACAGAACAUCUACCAGCUAAUGAAAAUACGGGAAACCAGACUUUAUGAUAUAGCACGGUGAUAAAAUGAAUUAUAUUUAAAUGUCAAUGGAAUCUAUGAAAUAGAGCAAAUUUGGAAGAAAUCCAUUCAGUAAUUUUAAAGUUGUGAAUAAUUAGCAUGGCAUUUUCAAAUGCACUUGAUCAAAUUCAUGACCUAAUUCUGCUCUAAAUUCUUUAAUUUUCAUUUUUGCAAAGUUAUAUGAGCCAUGCAAUACUACAGUAGUAUUAGAAUACUGCAGCAGUAGUGAGUCCUGCUGAAAAAUUCUACCCUUAAAUUAAUGACUCCAGCGAAAGAAUGGGACAUGGCAAUUUGGGGCAGAAUGAAGCCCAUUCUUUUCAAAGGCAGCACUCCAGAUUUUCAUAAAUGCAAACAAAUGCAGUUUGACCUCAGGACUGACAAUGUACCUAAUUCCAACUGCCUAAGUUGCAUGGCAAGAAGAAGCUAGACUGGAGCUGAAAUAGAACAACUUCCAAUGGAAAACUGAGAUACUCUAAAACAUUUUAUCUGUAGCAAGCCAGUAAUAAUGACAUUAUUUUGACAUUGUCAUGUUAAGUUUCAUGAUGAACAGCCACAAAUAUACCAAGUGUGAGGCACAGAUCAAGCACAGGUCUGGUCAUAACCUCACUGUCAGAUGCCAAAAAGCUGUUCCUUUUUAUAGCACCUCCUUCCAUCUCACUGAAUUCAUCAUAUUUAUCCCCAAAUAAAAGAAAUUACUGGGUUUUUUUUUCCCUUUGUUCAGAAAAGCACAUGCUUUAUUCAAGAGCCUCAGACAUUCCAGUGUAAAUUAUUUGUACUUCUUGCUACAAAAAAGUCUUGCUCCAGGACUUUGUGACAACACUGACUACCUGAGGGAAAUCAAAUUAACAGCAGCUGAGACAGAACUAUUAAAGGCAUGUUUUCCCCUAUGUACAGUAGUCUGCUAACGUAUCCACAGGCACUGAGAGUGAGGAUAAAGCAAGGACAUUUCUCUGAACCAUCACUAUCUCUCACAUUACUGUCUAUUCUUGUGAGGGAGCCGUGGAUGCAGUGAUAUUGAUAGGCACUGGGGUUCCUUGAGCCUCAACUCAAGCAUGCAGAUUUUACAGACAUGCACACCAUGAAGACAGUAGCUUCCAAAAUAAAUCAGGCAAGUUUUUUUUGCUUAAGACUACAGAGGUAACUGCAAGGUUGUUGCUAGUUCUGAGUGUAAUGAUGCAAAGAAGUGGGGCACCUAAAGCCUCUCCUCUGCCCUCAUGCCCUCAGGAGGCACCAUCCAGCCUCCAGAGAAGAUGGGUUUGGGAUGGCACCCAGCCUCUUCCUGCACAACCUGCCAGGGCAAGAUGCUCACAAAGGAGCUGUACUCGUGGCCCUGCAUUAACUCCUCCUGUUCAACGAGGGAGAUGACAUCUCUGCUGUUUCCAGAGAAGGACAAACACUCAUACACUAGCAAAAUGCUCAGAGAGGCAGGGUCCACAUUUGUAACUGGGAAUACCACUCUGAAGUGCAGGCAGGAGACCACCACAUCAUGUCCAUGCUGCUCAGGCAUCACCUGAGAGGUCAGUGGGGCAGGGCUUGUCGUUAAACACCACGCUAGCAGUGGCAGAGACCUGACCAGGUCUCAGUUAUGCCACAGGUUUGUUUUGUCAGUUUAGGAAUUGACACAUUUACUUCCUCCCUCCCACUUCUCAUCUGCUUUGUCUGCAUAGCCUUCAGUAGUUUUAAGGUGGGUGUCAUGUUUCUAGGUGCUGAGAGGAACUAAAACUUGGAGUACCUUUGACCUCCUAGCACUACUGGGACUAAAUAUUGAACACCGUUCAAGUAACAUUUUUAUUCCAUUUAGUGAGUAGAAAAAAAUAACUGAGUUCAAAGAAAAAUGCACCUUGCUUCAAAAGCCUCUUUAAUCAGCCCCAGAAUCUGAACCAAUGCUGAACAUAAAGAUUUAAAUUUGGCUUAAUGAAAACUGAAUAGACCAAAAAACAACAAAAGAAGUCUCUUUACAAAAGGUAUGGAUUCAACCCAGCCAGUAAAUAAUUAAAGCUCCUCUCUGUUCCCUUCCACUUUCUAUUUUAAGGCUUUUCAUUAUAUGGGAUCAAAGUCAGCUCGAGUUGGAGAGAGUUAGACAAAUCCAUCACGGAGACAGAAUGAAUGUAUGAUCUCAUCCCCUGUGACAGCAGCCCGACGGUACCACCUGUUUGAACUCAGCUCAUACCACUUCUGAUGACACUGGCAAUGUCAAGCAAAUUGCUCGAAAUUCAAGGGGGAGGAACACUCUCCACCAAAGCAAACAAAAAAAAAAAAAAAGAAAAAAAAAAAAAGAAAAAAAAAGGCAAAAAGCUGUAAAUCCGGCAUGAGGAAUGCCAGCGCUGCAAAAUGAGCAGCUACAGAAAGGGUUCAGAUCCCAUGAACAUAAAUCACUCUGGACCUCAGAAAAUCAGCUGUAUGAAAAAAGACUCAAAAAAGACUCAAAUGAGAAAGCAAUGCAAGACAGCUUUAUAAAAAAUUAUAAAUAAUUAAAAUAAGGAAAAAUAAAUGCCCUUGUUUAUUUUCUGAAAAUGAAAGAAAAAGAAUACAUUGAAGCGAGAAGACAAAAUAAUCAAGAUAUGAAAGGCAAGUUAAACAGGGAGUUUAAAAUUGACAGGGAAAUUUAAAAGAGAUUAAAGGAAAUUCUGUUCUACCUUCUGGAACUUAAAAUGUAAAUUCACCCUGUGGAGCUGUCUGCAACAUAAUAUAAUUGGGACCAGAAAGGACUAUAAAAGAAAAUAUUAAUUAGACUGUUAAUGAAUACCUGCAUGUUCCCAUUAGAAACUCUUCUGUUUUAAAAAGAAAGAAUAUAAUCCUUAAUGAACCUUGCCCUUUUUAAGCAAUAGAAGACAAACAUUUAUAUUUCCUGACACAAACAAUGAUUAAGUGUCAGGGAUUAAGACAUCACCCUUAAGGGGAAUCCCCAAGGAUUAAGAAAAUCCCCCUCUUGUCACAUUAUUCCGGAACUGUCAGAGGGCCAGUUCCUGAGCACUGUCAGGAACAAUGUACUGGCCCAGAUCCAACACACCAAUGUUUGGUUAACACUAAAGUUCAGUCAAAAGAUUUCUGUCUAAAACACUUGUUUAAGGAAAAAGAUGACAGCAUUGUGAGUGUACCAUAAAGCUUUAUUUUCUAAACCAUUUUUUGCUCUCACUGCCAGUAGCUAGAAGCACUUGAAGAUUAAGGCAGCAAGCAUACAUCAGCUCUACUUGGUUUGGUGUAUAAAAACACUUUGGUCUAGAUCUGGGUCAAGAUACACAAUUUCACUUCUUUGAGCUGUGUGAUGUGCUCAACACAAACUUGACUUCAGGUCUGCCGCUGUACCAGGCUGAUUUGCAGUUCUAGGAAGUUGCAGAGUACUCCAGCUGAUUAAACUUGCAACUACACAGAUAUAAGAGUCAAACUGUAAAGUUAUUUCAGAUAUAAAAAAAUCUCACUGCUGUGAAAUUUAUGUUGUUUUUUUUUCUCAGUCUACUAAGAUGAAAACAAAGAAGCAGUUUGGCACUUCACCGGCUGAAAGAGCAUCAAAACAUGCUCUAAAUUAAGACUGCAUUGCAGGACCUUUUUCCAGUGAGAACAGGCACUCUUGGGAUGCGUAGAGGCCCCCAACAAUGUUUUCAGUGACCUCAUUAGCAUCUGAUGUGUAGGAACAUCUUUAAAUGUGUACUUUUCCUGUCUACCUUGAAAUGGCCCUUUAAUUUAACUCAUAAAAUUACUUUUAUUUGGUACCAAAUAGAUAAAUAAACCAAUGUUAUUCAGGCCCAACAAUAUUCUUCAAAUGAAGGGGGGAAAAAAAGCCUGUAAUAAAAAAAUUAGAUUGGAAAUGUUUUGAUGCUUUAUGUGGGAGUUAGCUGUAUGCAGAAUUGAACUGUAUUUUCUUGGUUUAGCUGAACUAAGCUGUACUGACAAGAGCAUGCUGAAUUAGAUCCGGUUGUAACCCGAGGUGAACCUGCAGGGUAAACCUUACGUCACUAUAUUGCAGCAGUUCUUUCUUUUUUCCAUGAGCAACUGUGGCUCACUUCCCUCAGUCUCUGAAAUGCCAUAUCGUGUGUGCUGGCCAUGGGGUAGAAGUCUAAAUAGAGCAUGUUUAGAUUUAUUCACUUCAGGCCUCUGGGAUUGGAACUGAGCUACAGGGAGAGACUGAAAUAAGACUACAAAGGUAUGAAGGAGGCAAAUGCGAAGGUAAUGGGGUGUUAGAAUGCACCCUGUGUUUAAAGACAUUUACCCAUAAUUCUGACUUGUACGUUUGGGCUUUUGCCUGUUCAAGGCAAAGCCAACACCAUGCUUCUCUCUCAAAGCCACAUAGGGACAACUUGCCUUGCAUUGUGGGGUAACUGACCCUAACAGGUGACAAUGCCAAGACCUUCCUGGCUAUAGUAAUAAAUAUUUAAUUUCUACAGCACCAUCUACACAACUUUGCAGAAUAAGAUGCAAACUCUCUUGCAAGAGCCUGGCAACUCCUUAGCAUGAAGGCCAAUGAGGACAUAGGGCACCUGGCAUGAUAAUCCCCUCUACCAAAUUUCCAUGGCCACAUCACUGCUUCAGAGAGGUAACUGAGCAGGCAGAACUGUUUAAGUUCUACCUCACAGCCAGGCCUACAAAACGUGCUCCAUGUUCUACCUUCAGGCAUGCUGCUAAGCACAAAACUACCCUCUUUUUGCCAGAGCCAGCUGGCAGCCUCGGUGGCACAAGGCAGGUGGGCACAUAACCCUCUGUUAUCUCAGUGCCUGAUGGCUCCUUUCUUUGCUAGCUUUAUCCCUGACUUUCUGUGGCAUGGCAGAGCACAUAAGAGCCCUCCCUGAAUUAAUCCAUAUACUUGGAGAAAAAGCAACUCUAUUUGCAGUUGCACUAGAUAGGCAAUAGACCACUGUCCGUAACACAGGAUCUUUACCUGCAGUCCCUGGAAGGAGUCCUCUCCUUGCUCAGUUGGAAUGUUACAGGACACUGUAAAAGGUUAAGUGCUAUGGGGCUAAAUGGUAUUUUCCAACUGUGUAUAAUUAUUUUUUAAAAUAAAUUCAGAUACAUGACCCUGUUACUGAUUUUUCUUCAGCUCAUAUGCAAUGGAGAUGUUCUGGAGACACCAUGAUAGUGCUUAAUAAAAAUAUGAAUCUCUGUAUAAUUUCAUCACUUCAGCCUUGAAUAACUGGAAAUCCUCCUCCUACAGAAUUUGUCAUGAUUUUCGCUCUUUGAGUUCAAUGCAAGAAGUGCACAGCUAAAUUAUGCAGGACUAUAAACUUACAUAACUGUUUGUAAGAUAGAAGAACAUAAAAAAUAUAGGAGCUUUAACAGUCAGGAAUAUAGAGAAGUCCAACACAGAACUGAGGAAAAAUGAUUUAUUGCUUGUUCUUCAGGUAGACAGGUUUACUAGUAUUUAAUUAGUACAAAUAGAAGUAAAUCUGAGAAUAUACUGUCAUUUCCUUAGACAUAUGGAAACCAAGAGCAGGCAUAACUAAUCAUGAAGCAGCUACCUGAACAAACAUCAAUAUAAUAUGUAGAAAGGUGUAUUUACACUAAGAGAUCACCCAUCUCUUGCCUUAGUUUCCCCUCUUGAACAGCAGUGGCAUGAUGAAGGAAGCACCACAGGGGAUACACCCACAUGGCUCACUGAUACCACUUGCACACAAUCUUGAGUAUCAGGCAUACACAGCAAGCAUAAUUCCUUUCACUGCCUACCUACCAGGAGGUUCAUCAACAGUCUACUCUUUAUGUCUUUUGGUAAUAUGCAUUCUCCUUUUCUUGGAGCACAUGUAGUCUCACAUUGCCCAGGAAGCCUUCUGCUCUCAAUGCAAGAAUCUGGACGGAAAUAAAAUCCAUCAAUCCUCUGCCUGGUUUAGUAAAUCUCUCUCACACUGUUCAUCAUUGUCUCUAGCCCUGUAACUCGAGCCCUUUGGCCCUCUGCUUGUGGGGCUCUUUAAUCCUUUAGCUUUCUAUCUGGAUGGCUGGGGGCACAAUUUGCCCAACACCUGGUCUCUUUUUCUAGUCCCUGAUAAGGAUCUUUGCUCUCACUUGUGGUCUCUCCUGCCUCUGCUGAAACAGCAAAGAGCCUUUUACAAAGUCAUGUAUAUACACACCUUACAGUCAGGUUUUCUUUGGCUUACAAUGAAAGCCACAGGACAGCACAAAUGAACCUGAAAGGGUUCAGGAUGCAAGGUACCCUUGUAAAAAUUACACUUGGAUACAACCAGAAACAGGGAUGAAAAGUGGAUUCCUUAGCAUAUGAUAGCUUUUCAGCAUACUCCAAGCAUGUGCAUUUGGAAAUUCUUGCUGCUGUUCUUCAUGCAGAUUACUGUUUGCAGCUCCCUUGCACUGUUCUCCCAUUAGGUGUGUGAAUGAAGCAUAGAAACAAUUUGUUUUAUCGCCUCCACUCUCACCAAGGAAUUAAAUUAAAAAUAGCAGUAUUGCAUCACUUUUAACAGGGCAGUAAAAUAGGACUAUAAUGGCUGCAGGCUUGCUCCUUCCCCACUGUAGCAAAUCCUGUAAUCAGAAGGAGGUUGCAGCUCUGCUUGGGAUCCUUCUACUAGAUUUUGCCCUGAGAAAAGGUUUGUUGAGAGGGAGGUUACUGUGGGGUAAGUGCCAAAAUGCAUGCCUGUACUCUUGGUCCUCAGGCCAUUUGGUUGGAGCAGCUGAUGAUCUGUUUUGCUGUUCCAUCUCACAGGCAGCCCAUUUCCAUGGUGAUGCUCUUCUAGAGAGACCUGCCAGCCAAGAUGCAUGGGGGUCCAUUUUAUUGAGAAAGCUGCUCAAUUCAUAGGAGCUUUACUUUAAGCCUAAUACAGGUUGCUACUUUUUAAUUUUUACUUUCCCAGGGACAGACAGUGGUACCAGUAUCCCCAGUUUGCCAAUUCUUUCCUAUCCUACAAGACAUCGCAAGCCUGCACCUCAGGACAGGAAGUGGCUAACAAAAUAGCAGGACCCAUACUGCUGACAUCCAUUUGAUACAUUUUUUCAAAACCAUUGGGCAUGAAUCAGGUCCAUGGAAACCUGCAAACAAUAAUCUGAGCUUUAAAAAACCAAGAGACUAAAGAUGUCUGCAUCAUGCAAGUGAUACUCAGCUAAAAAAGCUCUUCAGUUGCUCCCUUAGAUACAUUACACUCUGCUUACUGUUGGAUUUUGAAAAUGCACAAAAAUACUUAUCUGAGUAUCUUCAACUGCUGUCAGAUCUAAGAUGAAGGCUACUGAGGCUAAAAUAAGGGACAGAAACAACCUGUAGAGGAAUUUGGUGUUUUGGCUUAUUUAAAUUUAACACUUUAUACUUAAGGAUAUAUUUGGGCCCUGGUAUUUAAGGGCUUUCUCCACAGAACACUCAUUAAGUCCUACAAGGAAUGUACUUGUGCCAUUCCCAUCAAUACUACUGGAUUUACAGGUGCAUUGAGACUCACCCCUGCGUUCACAACUCCAGCACAAAAGCCCUUGGCUUCACACAAGACAACAAAUGUGCAAAGGAGUAUCAAGGACACAGGAGCUACCCGGAGAUACUCCUCUGCAGCCUUUCCAACAGCACUUGGAGAUGUUUGCCCUCUGCAAACAGACUGCCAUAGAGGAAGAUUUGGGAGCAGGGGCUGGACCACAGGACCCAGCAGUCCACCUCAGUCCUGAGCACAGCAUUCCCAUCAGCAGCUGACUCCAACCACGAAAACAGCAGUGGAAGAGCCAGCCCAAAGUGUUACAUUUCUUCUAGUCCUAGGUUCACCACAGGAUUUAUCUGAGGAUCAAGACAUGACAUCAGAACACAACAGCUGUGUCUCCUGGUUAGAAAUCUCAGUUCUCUACAGUCUUGGAGACAUUUCUUCUGCUUUUGUUGACUUUUUACUGUUUUCUCAGAGCUACUGAAUUAUUCAUCUGUCAACAUAAAUGUAGAGUUCGUCAUAUAAAUAUGUAAAGUCACCAUUUUAGAGCAAACACCCAAAUACAAAUUCAUAUAAAAAGCUUUUUCUAGAUCAUUAACCCUGCAUAGCAAAAGACGCAAUAUACCACAAAUGUAUAUAGUAGGACUGAAGUUGAAAGUAAACUCUGAGUAGGUCAGUAUUCCAGCCUACUCUCUGCUGUGAUACUUUUUAAAGUAAGGCUUCCAUUCUGAUUUGCAAAGCCAGUCCCUGCUUCUUGCCUCACUUGAUACAAUCCCAAAAGUGAUGUUCAUCUCAACAAACUUAUCUAUUAGACUGCAUCAGAAAACUGCCAUUCUCUGUACUAAUAUUUGCUUUUCAUGCAGAGCAGCUACUUCCUACAAGGUAUUUUCAACCUGGACCUAUCUCUUGGUAGGAAAUCUACAGAUCUGAGUGAGACAACAAUAAGCUAGAACUAAAUACUCCCAAAACACCCAGUCAGUAUUUUUACCUUUACAGCACAGGUCCUGUUAAGACUGCUACACAUAGGACAUGUCCACGUGUUCUGCUCACCUAGACCCCUGAGAGAAUAAAGGGGACCAAAGACUUAUUUGUCAGUGCUUAAUUUACUACGUGAAUUUUCUGCAUGGUCAGUUAUACUAUAUAAAAUAAUCCCAAUGCUGGUUCAUGCAUUUUGCAGUCAGCUUUAUCAGAUAAAGUAUAAAGAUUCAAUUAUAAAUAAUUUUAAAAGAACAAUUACCUUUUAAAUAACAGCUUGAGUUAACAAAAGGAACAGAUUCAUCACUCAGCGGCAGGAAGAUCAUAUUCUACGUAAAGACAGCCUGAGCAACUAAGGAAUGGAAAAACCUGCUCAAUACUCAACAUGUGACUGCAGUUCUUGUAAUAUAUUCACUGUAAACUCAGCAAUCCCAGUUUGAGCAAAUAUUGGGGCAAACGUCAAAAGACUGAUUUGGUUUUGAUUAUCAUUUUACUCCAUUUUAUGGAAAAAAUGUCACACAAUGACUCUAGAAAAGGAGCUAAGAAAGUAGACUAGGAUUUGCUGUCUCCGAAUGCAGUGUCCCCCUUCCGUUACCCGCGAGUAAACCGGCAAAGGCAGAAGUUAGGAUGGCCAGUUCAUAUUAUCAUAUGAUCUGUAUGAUCAUCUUCUGUCCUGUUGCCCUCAUCUCUUCCCUGGAUGGUUAGACAGGAACAAUGAAUACACCAAAACAACAGGAGAUGUCAUUUGCAGUCUUCUCACCGGCUUCAAAGGCCGGACAGGCUGGCCAUUUGAGAUGCAAAUAUUUCAAGAAGUGAGACACGCUGUUGAGCAAGGAGCAGAGCCAUGUUUGUCAUCCUACUCUCUGCAUUGUAUGUAUUUAUUUCAUUCUCCAUAGUCACGACUUCAGAACGUGUUCUGUAAAAUCAAGCGCUAUUUAUGCUCUUGCCCUCAUUUAGCCUCAGAAAACAUUUAAAAAUCCUAGAGUUCUACUGUAAGCAUUUCCUAGGGAAAUAUGAUCAUAUAAAACAUUGACACUUCCUGGAAAAGAAUGACAGAUCCUUAAUAAAACUGACAAACUAAAAUUUUUAUAACAAGCUCUCUAACCUGCUAUACCAGCUGGCACCCAGGGUAAGAUAUCAUGGCUGAAACUUUGUCCCAUGCAGAAGAUGGAGUUUUAUGAACUGGAAUUAUGAAAGAAACUCAGCAAAAAGAGGGCUGGCAGUUAGGACAAAGUCAGUGCAAUACAGUCCAUGUCCAAGAGAGAGUGAAAAGAGAUGGAUGCUGGAAGCAUGCAAGCUAUCUGAAAGCUGUUCAUGUGAUCUAAAGUUUGCAAGGAAAUUAAUGAUGGCAAAUUUCACAGCAGAAGUGUGGAUACAAGACUUGCUCUGCAUUCUGUUGAGUAGAGCCACUUAAGUACAUGUUAAGUACUUAGAGCAAGGUACUGAAAAACUGCAUGUUUAAGCCAGAUUUUAUUCCAGAAUGCAGAAUCCUGCAACACAAACUUGUGAGUUAUUUGCACUUAAGAAUUACUUUUUUCAUUAAACUGGUACACACUGAACAUUCAGGUGAAUGAGUGUCUGGUGAGUUCUGAUACAACUUGAGCUAAGCUAUUGUCUCAUAUCUGAGGUAACAAUGAUCAUGGGAAUGCAAAGCAGAAAAGAAUACCAUAAACCACCAUCCUCUACCAUGCACUUGUGAUGAGUAGCAACUGCUCUUCAUCCAUUUUAGGGCAGAACUGCAAGGCAGCACAAGCCAACACUGUCUUUGGUUUUAAAGUUUGUGCUGAAACAGCUUGGGGAAGCUCACACGGGACUGUAAAUUCCACCGGGAAAAUGAAAAUUCUUCAACUGCCUGAAGUAUCCUACCAAUCCUCUAGAUAAACUAGAAAACUCAAAUCAAAAUCGAUGUCUACAUGAGGUUUUACUCUAACUCUGUCUACUUAAUUCAGCUUCCUGACUUAGAUGUAAAUUCAGAGCUACAAGGAUUACUGGAGGGUUGAGAUUUCAUCACUCAGGAGACUGGACUAUGGAGCUGCUUUUGGACAGCAAAAUACAACCUCCCCACUGGGCACAGAAGCUGCAUACUGAUGACAUGCCAAGAAAAAAAAGUAUCUUCAGGCUGGGAAACCUGACACAGUAGGAGACAGAAAGGAUGAAAUGCUGCAGUGGCUCAGGAAGGAAAAAAAAAGUUCAUACUGAGGUAAAGAAAACAACAAAUUUGGCAACAUUAAAAUCCUUUGAUCAAGAAUUUUUAAAUGAAACAUUAAAAAUAUCUGAAUGGGAAGUUUUGGGUUUGGCUACAGUUUUUUGUUGAUCAAUUUACACAGAAAGCAAAAGCUUCUAGCAAAACAUUCCACAGCAUUGAAGAUUAACUUUUUCUUUCUUUUUUUC